UACGUAGGGGCAAGCGUUGUCCGGAUUUAUUGGGCGUAAAGAGCGUGUAGGCGGCCACACAGGUCAGCUGUGAAAACUCGAGGCUCAACCUCGAGACGUCGGUUGAAACCGUAUGGCUAGAGUCCGGAAGAGGAGAGUGGAAUUCCCGGUGUAGCGGUGAAAUGCGCAGAUAUCGGGAAGAACACCCGUGGCGAAGGCGGCUCUCUGGGACGGUACUGACGCUGAGACGCGAAAGCGUGGGGAGCGAACGAGG
rnacentral:rRNA from 1 species